rnacentral:tRNA from 1 species
AUUAAAGUGACAGAAUAAAUGUAAGGAAUUUAAGCUUCCUUUAUGAAAUAAAGUUUCCUUUAAUA